CUUUAGUCCCGUGACUCCCGUCCCUGUAUUGCGUUUGUUUCUUCGAGGCGAGACCCAGAGACGAGGAGUCGGUUGCGACGGAGUGUGGUUGGCGAUCGGCGUUUGUUUCUUUGGGAGCGAUCGGCGUGCCGCGUGCGUGAAGCGAUUUAGGGACGCGGCUGCGACGGAGUGUGGGAGCGAUUUAGGGACGCGGCUGCGAGGAAGGCCAGGAAGCCGUGCGUUUAGGGACGGUGACAGAGAGAGUCAGGUUGUUUCGAAUUUCGAAUUUCGAAUUCAGGGACGGCGACAGAGGAAGGGCAAGAGAGAGGACUCAGAGGAGGAGUCGCGGCCAGAGGCGAUUUUCGAAUUUCAGCCAGUUAGGUUGUUUCAAUCUUUUUUAGUUUAAACCUCCAAUUUUAUAUGUGUUAUGUUUUUGCUGUCUGCCUGUGGCCUGUGCACUGUCUGCCUUGUCUUGCUUGUUGAUUAAUUGAUUUUGCUUAAUUGCUCAAUAUCUUGUGUGGUUUGUUGUUUACCUGUGCAGUGCCCGGUCAUUUAUUUGGUUUCUGGUUUCAAAUUUAUUUACAUAUUAAUAUUAUGGCUCCUGGCAUUAGAAAAUAUAAAUCUGGUUAUGAAAAACGUAAGAAACAAAAAAAAAAUGAAGAGGUACAACGAUUACAAAGAGGAGCAUUAGAUAAGUUUGUAAUUAAAUCACAAGUUUGUUCUGAAAAUCCAAAUGUUGAUGUUGAUGUGGAUAAUGUGGAUAACAAUAUUAAUGAAGUAGAGAAUGGCAAUUUGAAUAAUUCACCCAACAAUGAUAAUGAAGUAGAGAAUGACCAUUUAAAUAAUUCACCCAACAAUGAUAAUGAAGUAGAGAAUGACAAUGUGGAUAACAAUAUUAAUGAAGUAGAGAUUGAUAUUUUUGAUCCAAGAAAUUGCGAUGGACUUGAUUCGAAAA